UACAUGUGGGGCAAGCGUUGUUCGGAAUUACUGGGCAUAAAGGGUGCGUAGGUGGUCUGUUAAGUCAGUGGUGAAAUCCCGCGGCCCAACCGUGGAACUGCCAUCGAUACUGGCGGACUUGAGUGCGUGAGGGGUUACCGGAACGAGCAGUGUAGCGGUGAAAUGCGUAGAUAUCUGGAGGAACACCGGUGGCGAAGGCGGCAUCCUGGACCGGCAUUGACGCUGAGGCGCGAAAGCCAGGGGAGCAAACGGG
rnacentral:rRNA from 1 species